rnacentral:rRNA from 1 species
UAAGCGGAGGAAAAGAAACUAACAAGGAUUCCCCUAGUAACUGCGAGUGAAGCGGGAAAAGCUCAAAUUUAAAAUCUGGCAGUCUUUGGCUGUCCGAGUUGUAAACUAGAGAAGUGUUAUCCGCGCUGGACCGUGUAAAAGUCUCCUGGAAUGGAGCAUCAUAGAGGGUGAGAAUCCCGUCUUUGACAUGGACUACCAGUGCUUUGUGAUGCGCUCUCAAAGAGUCGAGUUGUUUGGGAAUGCAGCUCAAAAUGGGUGGUAAAUUCCAUCUAAAGCUAAAUAUUGGCGAGAGACCGAUAGCGAACAAGUACCGUGAGGGAAAGAUGAAAAGAACUUUGGAAAGAGAGUUAAACAGUACGUGAAAUUGCUGAAAGGGAAACGCUUGAAGUCAGUCGCGUUGGCCAGGAAUCAACCUUGCUUUUGCUGGGCGUACUUUCUGGUUGACGGGUCAGCAUCAAUUUUGACUGUUGGAAAAAGUUCAAGGGAAUGUGGCAUCUUCGGAUGUGUUAUAGCCCUCGUUCGCAUACAGCAGUUGGGAUUGAGGAACUCAGCACGCCGCAAGGCCGGGUUUCGACCACGUUCGUGCUUAGGAUGCUGGCAUAAUGGCUUUAAUCGACCCGUCUUGAAACACGGACCAAGGAGUCUAACAUGCCUGCGAGUGUUUGGGUGGAAAACCCAAGCGCGCAAUGAAAGUGAAAGUUGAGAUCCCUGUCGUGGGGAGCAUUGACGCCCGGACCAGACCUUUUGUGACGGAUCCGCGGUAGAGCAUGCAUGUUGGGACCCGAAAGAUGGUGAACUAUGCCUGAAUAGGGUGAAGCCAGAGGAAACUCUGGUGGAGGCUCGUAGCGAUUCUGACGUGCAAAUCGAUCGUCAAAUUUGGGUAUAGGGGCGAAAGACUAAUCGAACCAUCUAGUAGCUGGUC